rnacentral:rRNA from 1 species
GACAGAGGAUGCAAGCGUUAUCCGGAAUGAUUGGGCGUAAAGCGUCUGUAGGUGGCUUUUUAAGUCCGCCGUCAAAUCCCAGGGCUCAACCCUGGACAGGCGGUGGAAACUACCAAGCUGGAGUACGGUAGGGGCAGAGGGAAUUUCCGGUGGAGCGGUGAAAUGCGUAGAUAUUGGAAAGACCACCGAUGGCGAAGGCACUCUACUGGGCCAUUACUGACACUGGAGAGACGAAAGCUAGGGGAGCAAAUGGG